CAGUAGGGAAUCUUCCGCAAUGGACGAAAGUCUGACGGAGCAACGCCGCGUGAGCGAUGAAGGCCUUCGGGUCGUAAAGCUCUGUUGUUAGGGAAGAACAAGUAUCGGAGUAACUGCCGGUACCUUGACGGUACCUAACCAGAAAGCCACGGCUAACUACGUGCCAGCA
rnacentral:rRNA from 1 species